rnacentral:lncRNA from 1 species
GGUUGUGAGCCACCAUGUGGUUGCUGGGAUUUGAACAUACACACACACAAUUGCACCUGCACACACACACAAUUGCACCUGCACACACACAUACAAAACAUACAUACAGUCACACACAUAGCACACACUUGCACCUGCACACAUACACAGUCACACAUACAUACACACACACACAUGCUGCACAUAUACAGAGCAUAUACAGUCACACACACAUACAGAGUGAAAACAGAAAUUCAAAUCACAAUGAGGUAUUUCCUAAUACUUGUUAGUCUGGCUAUAGCUACUGUUAUGGAAAAGAUGAAAACAC